rnacentral:tRNA from 1 species
GGGUUCAUAACUCAGCGGUAGAGUGUUGCAUUCACAUUGCAAAAGUCCCAGGUUCGAAUCCUGGUGGGCCCA